GAUGAACGCUGGCGGCGUGCCUAAUACAUGCAAGUCGAGCGAAUGGAUUAAGAGCUUGCUCUUAUGAAGUUAGCGGCGGACGGGUGAGUAACACGUGGGUAACCUGCCCAUAAGACUGGGAUAGCUCCGGGAAACCGGGGCUAAUACCGGAUAACAUUUUGAACCGCAUGGUUCGAAAUUGAAAGGCGGCUUCGGCUGUCACUUAUGGAUGGACCCGCGUCGCAUUAGCUAGUUGGUGAGGUAACGGCUCACCAAGGCAACGCUGCGUAGCCGACCUGAGAGGGUGAUCGGCCACGAUGGGACGGGGACACGGCCCAAAGUGCUAGGGGGGGCAGCAGUAGGGAAUCUUCCGCAAUGGACGAAAGUCUGACGGAGGAACGCCGCGUGAGUGAUGAAGGCUUUCGGGUCGUAAAACUCUGUUGUUAGGGAAGAACAAGUGCGAGUUGAAUAAGCUGGCACCUUGACGGUACCUAACCAGAAAGCCACGGCUAACUACGUGCCAGCAGCCGCGGUAA
rnacentral:rRNA from 1 species